GACGAACGCUGGCGGCGUGCUUAACACAUGCAAGUCGAACGGAAAGGCCCUGCUUUUGUGGGGUGCGCGAGUGGCGAACGGGUGAGUAACACGUGAGUAACCUGCCAUUGACUUUGGGAUAACUUCAGGAAACUGGGGCUAAUACCGGAUAGGAGCUCCUGCUGCAUGGUGGGGGUUGGAAAGUUUCGGCGGUUGGGGAUGGACUCGCGGCUUAUCAGCUUGUUGGUGGGGUAGUGGCUUACCAAGGCUUUGACGGGUAGCCGGCCUGAGAGGGUGACCGGCCACAUUGGGACUGAGAUACGGCCCAGACUCCUACGGGAGGCAGCAGUGGGGAAUAUUGCACAAUGGGCGGAAGCCUGAUGCAGCAACGCCGCGUGCGGGAUGACGGCCUUCGGGCUGUAAACCGCUUUCGCCUGUGACGAAGCGUGAGUGACGGUAAUGGGUAAAGAAGCACCGGCUAACUACGUG
rnacentral:rRNA from 1 species